UACGUAGGGUGCAAGCGUUGUCCGGAAUUAUUGGGCGUAAAGAGCUCGUAGGCGGUCAGUCGCGUCUGCUGUGAAAACUCGGGGCUUAACCCCGGGCCUGCAGUGGGUACGGGCUGACUAGAGUGCGGUAGGGGAGACUGGAAUUCCUGGUGUAGCGGUGAAAUGCGCAGAUAUCAGGAGGAACACCGGUGGCGAAGGCGGGUCUCUGGGCAGUAACUGACGCUGAGGAGCGAAAGCGUGGGGAGCGAACAGG
rnacentral:rRNA from 1 species